rnacentral:ncRNA from 1 species
GGUAGUAUAUUAGAGUUUGUUAGUAUUCAGUAAUUAAUAAAGCGAUGCCGGACAUGGAUGUUCGGCAAGGCCCGUUUAAGACAGGAUGUCGAGUCCGGCGCCGUUCGCGUAUUAUUAAAAACACUUAACCUGAAUACUUACAAACUCUUAUAUACGGA